CCGGAAAUGGAAACACGAAAGUACAGACACACAACAUGCAAAAAUAUCUAAUCAAGCAAGCUCGGAUCAAGCCCCCUCUCUCCUUCCUUCGAUGAGAUUAGGAAAGUGCCCGUGGGUGUAUCUAUUAUGUCAGACACAGAGCCACGUCAGCUAGCAACUCUGCUGAAUAUCCUGCAUUUAUGUUAAGGCAAGUUUUUCACACAGAAGGUUGUGGAUAUAUGGAACAAGAUACCAGAGGAAGCGAUGGAGGAUGGUACAAUUACAAUAUUCAAAGACAUAUGGACAGGAAGAAUUUAGAGAGAUAUGGACAAAACACACUCAAAUGGGACUAGAUCAGGGAUUGAUUUAACCCCAGCAAGUAACAGCAUUCACACACACUAGGUCCUGCUGCCACAUAGGAUUUUGCCAUUGAAGAUGGUUGCACUGGGAAAUCCAGUGGAGGCAAGUGUAGACUUGCAAUGUAUGUUACCAGCGAGCAAGCAAGAACA